rnacentral:rRNA from 1 species
UUUAAGGUCUAAUCUGCCCAAUGAGAAGUUAAAUGGCCGCGGUACUUUGACCGUGCAAAGGUAGCAUAAUAAUUAGUUUUUUAAUUGAAAGCUGGAAUGAAUGAUUGGACGAGAAAAUUACUGUCUCAAGUUAAAUUAUAUUAGAAUUUUAUUUUUAAGUAAAAAAGCUUAAAUUUUUUUAAAAGACGAGAAGACCCUAUAGAGUUUUAUAUUAAAAUAAUUAUAGUUUUUUUAGUAUUUUUAUAUUUAUAAUUUUUUUAAUAUUUUAUUGGGGUGAUAGAAAAAUUAGAUUAACUUUUUUUAUAUUUUUACAUUAAUUUAUGAAUUUAUGAUCCAUUAUUUAUGAUUAUAAGAUUAAAUUACCUUAGGGAUAACAGCGUAAUUUUUUUUUAGAGUUCUUAUCGAAAAAAGAGAUUGCGACCUCGAUGUUGGAUUAAAAUAGAUUCUUGGUGUAGUAGCUAGGAUAUUAAGUCUGUUCGACUUUUAAAAUUUUACA